CAAGUCGAACGCAGUAGCAAUACUGAGUGGCAGACGGGUGAGUAACAUGUGGGAAUCUGCCUUGUGGCUCAGGACAACAUUGGGAAACCGAUGCUAAUACUGGAUAAGCCCUUACGGGGAAAGUUUUAAUGCCAUAAGAUGAGCCCGCAUUUGAUUAGUUAGUUGGUGAGGUAAUGGCUCACCAAGGCAAUGAUCAAUAGCUGAUCUGAGAGGAUGAUCAGCCACACUGGGACUGAGACACGGCCCAGACUCCUACGGGAGGCAGCAGUGGGGAAUCUUGCACAAUGGAGGAAACUCUGAUGCAGCGAUGCCGCGUGAGUGAAGAAGGCCUUUGGGUUGUAAAGCUCUUUUGUAGGGGAAGAUAAUGACUGUACCCUAAGAAUAAGGUCCGGCUAACUUCGUGCCAGCAGCCGCGGUAAUACGAAGGGACCUAGCGUAGUUCGGAAUUACUGGGCGUAAAGCGCGCGUAGGCCGUUGAGUUAGUUAAUUGUGAAAUCCCAAAACUUAACUUUGGAACUGCAAUUAAAACUGCUCGACUAGAGUUUGAUAGAGGAAAGCGGAAUACAUAGUGUAGAGGUGAAAUUCGUAGAUAUUAUGUAGAACACCAGUUGCGAAGGCGGCUUUCUGGAUCAACACUGACGCUGAGGCGCGAAAGUAUGGGUAGCAAAGAGGAUUAGAUACCCUCGUAGUCCAUACCAUAAACGAUGAUUGCUAGAUGUUGGAAAUUUAUUUUCAGUAUCGCAGCUAACGCAUUAAGCAAUCCGCCUGGGGAGUACGACCGCAAGGUUAAAACUCAAAUGAAUUGACGG
rnacentral:rRNA from 1 species